UACGAGGGGUGCAAGCGUUAUUCGGAGUUACUGGGCGUAAAGAGCGCGUAGGCGGCUUGUUAAGUUGGUUGUUAAAGACCCCGGCUCAACCGGGGAAGUGCAGCCGAUACUGGCGAGCUAGAGGACAAGAGAGAGAGGUGGAAUUCUCGGAGUAGCGGUAAAAUGCGUAGAUCUCGAGAGGAACAUCAGUUGCGAAGGCGGCUUCUUGGCUUGUAUCUGACGCUGAGGCGCGAAAGCGUGGGGAGCAAACAGG
rnacentral:rRNA from 1 species